UACGUAGGUGGCAAGCGUUAUCCGGAAUUAUUGGGCGUAAAGCGCGCGCAGGCGGUCCCUUAAGUCUGAUGUGAAAGCCCACGGCUCAACCGUGGAGGGUCAUUGGAAACUGGGGGACUUGAGUGCAGAAGAGGAGAGCGGAAUUCCACGUGUAGCGGUGAAAUGCGUAGAGAUGUGGAGGAACACCAGUGGCGAAGGCGGCUCUCUGGUCUGUAACUGACGCUGAGGCGCGAAAGCGUGGGGAGCGAACAGG
rnacentral:rRNA from 1 species